GACGAACGCUGGCGGCGUGCUUAACACAUGCAAGUCGAGCGCCCGUAGCAAUACGGGAGCGGCAGACGGGUGAGUAACACGUGGGAACGUGCCCAAAGGUACGGAACAACUCCGGGAAACUGGAGCUAAUACCGUAUGUGCCCGAAAGGGGAAAGAUUUAUCGCCUUUGGAUCGGCCCGCGUCUGAUUAGCUAGUUGGUGAGGUAAUGGCUCACCAAGGCGACGAUCAGUAGCUGGCUGAGAGGAUGAUCAGCCACACUGGGACUGAGACACGGCCCAGACUCCUACGGGAGGCAGCAGUGGGGAAUAUUGGACAAUGGGCGCAAGCCUGAUCCAGCCAUGCCGCGUGAGUGAUGAAGGCCCUAGGGUUGUAAAGCUCUUUCGGGCGGGGACGAUAAUGACGGUACCCGCAGAAGAACGCCCCGGCUAACUUCGUGCCAGCCGCCGCGGUAAC
rnacentral:rRNA from 1 species